GGGAACCACGCCCGGUCCCUGCGGGGUGGAAAAUAUCCCACGCGAAGGAGCUGAGGCAUCACAAAUGAAGGGCACGAGGCGGCGGUGGCGGCGACGGCUCUCCGGCGUUGCUCUACCCUGCGUCCGUGUUCUUAUAGGAGUGGCCCCUCUGGAGUUGUAUGUGGAGUUGUAAACUCUCUUUUAUCCUAGAAGAGUUUCUAAGGCGCGGUAUAAGUCCAUGAUCAUAGACUAAGAGAGGAUUUGACUCUAAUUACUAUCCGUUUUAUUUAUGAAGUCCUAUGAGAACAUAGAGUAUUUGCACAUUGCUUUAUUAGUUUAUUAAAGUUAAAGAUUGUAUGUGAUGAGUAUGUAUCAACUCUUGUUGGAAGUGUCUUGCAAUUUCCAACCAUA